rnacentral:rRNA from 1 species
AGGGAAUCUUCCACAAUGGCCGGAAGUCUGAUGGAGCAACGCCGCGUGAGUGAUGAAGGUUUUCGGAUCGUAAAACUCUGUUGUAAGGGAGAACCCAGUACGCCGGCCAAGGGACGUCCUUUGCCGGUACCUUAUUAGAAAGCCACGGCUAACACGGUGCCAGCAGCCGCGGUAAUACGUAGGUGGCAAGCGUUGUCCGGAAUUAUUGGGCGUAAAGCGCGCGCAGGUGGUUUCUUAAGUCUGAUGUGAAAGCCCACGGCUUAACCGUGGAGGGUCAUUGGAAACUGGGAGACUUGAGUGCAGAAGAGGAACGUGGAAUUCCAAGUGUAGCUGUGAAAUGCGUAGAGAUUUGGAGGAACACCAGUGGCGAAGGCGACUUUCUGGUCUGCAACUGACGCUGAGCCGCGAAAGCAUAGGGAGCAAACA